AUGGAUAUUGUAAAGGGGUUAUUGGUUGUAAUUUCAAAGUCUAACAUGCAUAUUCUAUUAAUAUAUAUUUUUUCUGUGUUAACAGAGCAACGAAGUUGGUGGUAGCAGCCAUAUGGAGAAGAGGAGUCUAGCCUUACUGGAGUCGCGUGGCGUCAACCUUGACUGCAUUGUCACUGAUCGUCAUCCUCAAGUACAGAAGUUCCUCAGGGAGAGAAACAUAACCCAUUACUGCGAUGUCUGGCACUUUGAAAAAGGUAUUUCAAAGAAGCUGUUAGCAAUCAGUAUGCAGAAAGACUGAGAAACUCAAGAAGUGGAUGAAGAGCAUCAACAACCACAUAUACUGGACUGCAGCUGGUUCAACCUCCGGGCCAGAGAGAAUCGCAAAGUGGACCUCGAUCCUGAACCAUGUUCGAGAUGUCCAUGUACAUGAAGAUCCUCUUUACCCCAAGAGCGUGCAUGCGAUCCGCCAGACAAGUGACCGGAGUAAAUGGCUUCAAGCAGCAACUCCAACUUUCUCCAAGUUGGAGAACUUGCUGACCAACAAAGGGCGCUGAAGGAGGUUGCAAAACUGAGCCCCCACAACCAAACUUCAUCUUUGGAGGCUUUCCAUGCGGUUAUUCUUCGUUCUGCCCCAAAAAAAUUUGUCUUUCCCUUUAUUGGAAUGCUGUGCAGACUCUACCUGGCUGCUAUGCAUUCAAAUCACAAUGUGGACCGACCACAGGCCGAAACAAAGGAAGGAGUACCGAUUUACAAAAUCUCCUUUCCAAAGGCUAGGAAGGGAGAGUGCAGAGCUAAACCUAAAAAAACACAGCAGACCUUUGUUAAGGGUUCAAAUCAAUUCAAACAACACAUACUUUGGAUUUCUAAAAUGUAUUACUCUUGAUGAAAAAUAAAUUAAAUACAAAAACACAGUAACACAAAACCCAACCAAUUUGAAAAGAAAACAUGUUUUACGAUACAGGUUACGUUGAUGACAUCAUGGAUGUCAUUUUUGAGGAAGUCUUUCCUAACCCUACGCCAUACACCGAGGCCCUGUUGGAGAGCCCUGUUCCAGAGCCCCUAACAGCACAGUAUGAGAGCCCUGUUCCAGAGCCCCUAAAAGCACAGUAUGAGGGCCCUGUUCCAGAGCCCCUAACGGCACAGUAUGAGAAGCCUGACAAGGAGGCGCUCAUCAGCAGCCUUGUGUCAAGGUUCAAACAGGGGGACGUUUAAAACCGACAUUGUGGCCUUCCUCAGCGGGAAACUCAGAGCGGAUACGCAGAACCACACAAGCUGGAAGGACAACCCGGAUACUGCGUCCCAGGAGGCCCCAGCACCAGCUCACAAAGGAACGAUAGGAGGGAUACCUGUAGCGACUGAACAAUUGAUUCAGAGAUUAAGUCUUGCAGAGAUUUAUCAUUGUUUUGUAUUAUGAAAAUAAAUAUUACUAUGCUCCUAUUGAUGGUUUGUUCUGUAACUAUUUACGUUGUUUUUUUUAGCUCUGAUAUAAAUACAUCUUGACAAAAUUUGGCACAAGAUUUUGAACAACUUCAUUUAUUUUAUUAAAUUCUGUAACAAUGCACAACUUACUUGUGUAUUCUUCUCAAAUUUAGGGGACCAUAGUCAGCUCUAUAUAUUUGUCUGGCAUUCUGAAUAGAGUAAACAUUUAGGCAGACAGGCUCCAAUCCAGGAUGGUCAACCAUACACGUCUGCUGUUGUUCGACCUCCC